rnacentral:rRNA from 1 species
CAUGCCUAAUACAUGCAAGUCGAACGAGAGGAAGGAAAGCUUGCUUUUCUGAAUCUAGCGGCGAACGGGUGAGUAACACGUAGGUGAUCUGCCCAUCAGACGGGGACAACGAUUGGAAACGAUCGCUAAUACCGGAUAGGACGAAAGUUUAAAGGUGCUUCUGGCACCGCUGAUGGAUGAGCCUGCGGCGCAUUAGCUAGUUGGUAGGGUAAAGGCCUACCAAGGCGACGAUGCGUAGCCGACCUGAGAGGGUGAACGGCCACACUGGGACUGAGACACGGCCCAGACUCCUACGGGAGGCAGCAGUAGGGAAUCUUCGGCAAUGGGCGAAAGCCUGACCGAGCAACGCCGCGUGAAUGAUGAAGGCCUUCGGGUUGUAAAAUUCUGUUAUAAGGGAAGAACGACUUUAGUAGGAAAUGGCUAGAGUGUGACGGUACCUUAUGAGAAAGCCACGGCUAACUACGUGCCAGCAGCCGCAGUAA